rnacentral:rRNA from 1 species
CAGUAGCCGCGGUAAUACGUAGGUGGCAAGCGUUGUCCGGAAUUAUUGGGCGUAAAGGGCUCGCAGGCGGUUUCUUAAGUCUGAUGUGAAAGCCCCCGGCUCAACCGGGGAGGGUCAUUGGAAACUGGGAAACUUGAGUGCAGAAGAGGAGAGUGGAAUUCCACGUGUAGCGGUGAAAUGCGUAGAGAUGUGGAGGAACACCAGUGGUGAAGGCGACUCUCUGGUCUGUAGCUGACGCUGAGGAGCGAAAGCGUGGGGAGCGAACAGGAUUAGAUACCCCAGUAGUCCCUGUCUCUUAUAC